UGUUAAUUUUCUCUCUUUACUGGUAAUGCUUUUGCACAUGCAUGUCAUUCUUUUUUUCUUAAAAACAGCAGACACCACCUCAACCCUCCACAUGCUCGUGGGACAUGCAGUGGUGAAACAACCUCUUAUGUAGCUCCUAGUUCCUCAGCUCAUAUGAACAAAAAAAUCUCUGUCUACUCCAGCUUUUUUUAUCCAGGGAAAAUAAAUAACUUGGAGUUAAAUGAAUUUUUUCAGUUAUGCAAGUCUUGGAAGUCACUGACUAAACUACAAUGAUUCUGAUGAGGGUUUAAACUGACUGUCAACAUUUUGCAUGGUUUCAGUCAGGGGGGA
rnacentral:lncRNA from 1 species